ensembl:lncRNA
GUUGUUUGUUUUGUUUUUGUUUUCCCCUUUGCUGAGCUUGGAAAAGUGGUUGUGGAAUGGAUCGGUUUACAUUUCUUUUUGAGUAUAUACCAACUGUAUUAAGAGUUAAAUAUGAAAAAGGAUGAAAAUAAGUACGAAAGACAACAUCCGUUCUCAUUUCAAUUUCCUGGAAGGAAAGUGCGGUUGGGCAGAUGGUGCUUUUUUGUUUUACUAAACUGAAUGAUCAGAUGUAAAUAAUAUAACCAUAUAAACUAUAAAGAUCGUUGGAGGUGGCUGAAUUGUACCUUAGCUAUUUCUGUUCCCAUCCAUGGAGAACCAGGACACUGAGUUUCUGGUUAAACAGGUAGAGGAGAGUGGCUGGUAAUUUGGCAUCACGCUGGACCUAGGGCUUGAUUUGCUUCCACAAAAGAUCAACAGCAUCGAAGUCUCAUCCUGUCAUCCUAUCUCACGCCGUUACCUCAAACCAAAAAUGCAACUCGUAAUAAUUCUUCCUGGUUACCCUGUGGUCUCAUUUGGUUAAAAAUAAAAGUUUCUUUUCUCUGUCUGGGAACAAGACAGCAAUAUCAAGAAGAAGAGUUUAAUUAAAAACUGGAGCUAAUCUCAAGACCUCAUGCUUUGGAAUUUAUUUAUUUAUUUUUAAUGUCUGCGUAUGAAAGGCUCUUGUCCAGAAAAACCUUGCCUAGAAAGUCUGAAGUUUUCUGUGUAUCUGAAGGAGGCAGAGGUGGACUUAAUGCCUUUAACAAGCAAUUCACUUGAGGCUAGAUUCUGCUAUCCUAACUCAGUUUAUACCCAAAGGUGGCAAAUUUAAAUACUUCUUCUGUCGACAGGUUGCUCAUAAAUAGAUAUAAACAGACGGCAUUUACCUCCGAUGUAUUCAUUAUGGAAAAUUGUGCAAUAAGCCUUAUUGUUUGUUUAACUUCACUCGUCUUCCUUAUUCUAGAGUGCAAUCAUGAAUGUUUGAGUGAUGUAGAUGUUGGUUUUAGUUAGUUGUUUAUUGUUUUCGUUUUUUUUUUUUUUAGACUCUUGCAUUUUUCUUUCUUUCUGCUUAUUUUUAAUUUAUUUCACAUUCACACACAUAAGCCUCAACUUUUCUUUCUGAGACAUGAAAGCUGGAAAAACUGUUCUGUGAGUGCGUGCAGAAAGUGAAAGAAAAACAUAAAUGGUAAAUAUCUAAUGUACAUUAUUCCAAAAGCUUAAUUUUUGAAUAUAAGUGUGAAAUAAGGUCAUCCCUUUAUUAAAAUUCACCUAGAUCUACGUUAAAGUAUCAAAACAGGAAUGGUAUCAGGAAAGAACAAAGCCCUCCUACAAAUGUGUUAGUUAUUAAUGUAUAAUUUCUCCUUUUAGAGUACAAUUCUUUCAGCAUAUCCAGCAAAUAAUUCAAAUAUUUGUAGGCCAUCAUAAAAGAUCUGAUAAUUUAAGCUAGUAAAGGAAAGCUGUAAUCUUGGAGAAAUCCCCUUUGGAAUAUCUACAGUGACCAUCUAUCAACAGAGAAAGACAGUUCCAGAGAUAAAACCCCUAAUGUUCAUCAGAGUGUAAUAAUUUUUGGACAUUACAAGUGCUAAUGUAGCUUUGCUAUUCCCAGCUAGUAAUUCUUGGGGAAUCUGUCAGCUAUGGAAAUCUGUGAGAUUAGCCCUGAAAUAUAUACUUGAUUGAUAACUAUACUGUUUCUAUUAUGCUAUGGUCCUGCUUUUUUUUUUUUUUUUUUUUUUUUGAUUUUUUUUUUUCGAUUUUUAAGUGUAGAGUGUAAUAUCUGGGGCUUCUGAAAGAAACUAAAGAUUUACUACAGCAUAGAAGUACCCUUCAUUCCUUUUCUUUCAUGCUUUCUAAUGCAGAAAUAAAUAUGCAUAAAUAAUGCAGAAAUGAAUAUUCAUAAACAUGAAACUUAACAUGAGGAACUUUAGAAAAACAUUUAAAAAUAUAUUUUGGUGUAUGUUGCAUUAUUCAAUUUUAACCUACCAUGGUACUUUCAUGUGACAGAUUGUCAUUAUGACUAUGCUUCCUUUUUCACUGGAGUCUAUCACUUCAGAGAGUUCCCUCCCCCAUCUCAGCUUUGCUUUGCAAGCUUUUUUAUCUUUUCUACCUUGCUAGAGGCAUUAUUAGGGCAGUUCACCUUUGACCAAAUGGGCAGACGAACAUCCAUCCUCUGGAGCCAAUACUAGUGCUGUUUGGUAGAUGAGCUCUCAAAUGGUACUGAACUGUGACCUCUUCUUCUGUUCAAAGACUAAAUACAUAAACUUGAGCCUCCAUUGGUGCCAAGCCUGGGAACCUGAGUUGCUCCCUAAUCCCAGGUCUUGCAGCCAGCAGCACAAUGGGCAACUCACCAUGCCAGUCAGCCAGCCUGAAAGAAUGUCUUUAUUCUCUCUUCCUCAACAAAUUGCUUAUUGUUUGGCCCACAGGCUGCUAGACCUUGUGAACUGUCCAAAACUUUAUUGCCUUUCUGUUAAACUUUCUUCUUUUUUCCCUUUGAUUCUGUUUAUAAAUGAAAUGAAUUUAUAUUUUCACUUCUUAGCAGUAUCAUUUUUAAAGAUGACUGUUACUUUUAAUCUUUUUUUUCAGAGUACAUCUGCCUUUUAGAAGCCUGCAGGAACCACAGAAAUAAUGCAAGCUCUGCAGGUUUAGGGUCCUUAGAAAGAAGGGUCUGGGAAAAUGCUAAAUGUUAUAAUACAGUAAAAUGAAGGCAAAUGAUUCAGGUGUUUCCAAAGAUACUGUUUCUCUGCUUUUGGCCUCAUCUUGACUGUGACUGCCCUGUGUCUAUUGUAUAAACAGUGAGUAUAGAACAUAACACUUCUCUUGGUACCCUACAAAAUGGAGUUGUUUAAGGGCAGUUUUAUUUAUUGAAAGUUAAAGCAGAUUGUCUAGUUUGUUAUUUAUCUGUUGAAAUAUUUCUGGAAGCCUCUUUUGUCUUCUGAAAAUGUGACUGCAGGACAAGCAUAAUGUAAGUUAGAGCUAGGCAGAGCACCUGCAGUUUAACAUUGAUAUUGCAAGGUUCAGCAGACUUACCCUAGGAGAAGGAAUGCUCCUCAUCUGUGAGCUCACCACAUGAAGAGAGGAACUGUGAUACAUAAAUAUUGCCAAAAUCAAUACAGGACUGAGGGCUCUUCUUUUCUCUCAUCUCAGUAACCUUUCAUGGAGAAAUGUCCACCUGCUAUCUGGAGAACCUGAAUAUACAGAAGGCCUAGUUAAAAUCAAUUUAAAUACUUAUGCACUUCUGCCUUCAUUUUUUGAACAUACUGUUUAACAAAGAUGUCAAACGUACAGAGUUUUCUGGAGCCAGAGAUGACCUAGGAAUUACCCAGAUUCCUUGAAAGUUUAUGCAUGUGUGUUUGUAGGCAUAUAUAUAUAUAUAUAUAUAUAUAAAAUUUAAUACCCUUUCAAGUAUGAGAAUGGCAGCACAAGAGUGGAAGAAUUGCAAAACUAAAAUGUCCACAUUAAGCUGAUGCAUGGUACAUAUCAGAUGAUAUAUAUACUGCCUUAUUGUUCAGUUGUGACUCAGGGAGCUAAAUGCAUAAUUUAAGAUAUAUGUAUAGUCUAAGGGUCAAAUGCUGUCAGUUACAUGAGUGUAAAUCAUGAGCAAUUGCACCAAAGUGACUGGAGUUGCAGUACCCUGGAUUUACACAAGUGUUACUGAAAGCAGAAUGUGAGUCAAUAUGUGUCAUCGAUACAAUUGAGUUAGUGGUAUUGAGGGAAUUUUAUGGUAUGCAUGAACCUAAAUUCUUCACAUUUUUCAUUGAUUAAAAUAUUACUUUUAAUGCUUCUAUGCUUCUAUUUUUGUUACUGUUUUUAGAAGAAUAAGUGUCCCAAACUCUGAUUCUGUAAGUGGUAUUCCCACCAAAUUUUCCCAACCCCAGUUAAUAAUGAUAUGGCAAACAUUACAGAGCUGUAGAAGCGUACUUUCUUUACCUAUAUUUCAGGCCAAGAUCUUAAUUUAUAUAAAUGCAGAAUUCUGAACCUCAUGCAGCCUGUUUCUUGGGAAACAUCUGACUACACAGAGAUACAUCCUUACACUCACCUGCUUCCAUUAAUGAUUUCAUGCAUAGCAAUGAAGGGCUAGGAAACAAAAUUUAUUAGACAUAUAGGACAGCAGGAUUUUGAUGCAGGAGGGAGGGCUGUGUACCUGGCUGAAGGGAAUGGGUAUGGAGCAUUGGCAGCUGAAAGUAAAAUCAGCUGUGUUAUAAGAGCAUGGGACAGCUUUCUUAACUGAUUCUUCCUGGGUUUGUUAUUGAGGAGUGCAAGGGAAAGAAAAUAGCUUUGCACCAAAUCUAAGAUACAACUCUAUGGCACAAAUCAAGGAGGUAUAAAAACUGAUAAUCUAUUGGGGAAGUAGUAGAGUACCAGCCAGAUAUUCCUGGCUUUCAAUGACCUUAUUUUGCAUGGAGGAAGAAUAUAUGAUUUUUAGGUUUGAGAGGAGGUUUUUAAUUCUGAAAGGAGGUUAUGUGUUAAAUAUAUGGUAGCAGUCUCUUCAAUAAUAGAAGUCAAGGCCCUUACUUGUGGAGCCAGAAUCUGGUAUUCUAUCACAUAAAAUAAUGCCAUUAUUUCUUAACAUACUUUUAAAUUGAAUGCAUUAUUUUUAAAUCACAUUUUUAUGAUAUUCUUGAAUAUCUAGAAAGAUUAAAAAAGCCUGAAAGUAGAUAGUAGAUUCUCCAAUAUUCGUAUAAUCAAAAAUGGUUGAUUGAAUUUGGAACACACAGACAAAAAAAGAAAGCCAUUUAAGAUUACAGUGAUCAGCGGGGGGAGCUUAUCACUUCAAAAGAAACAGAAAAAUGUGUUUGAACUAAGAAGGCCUGAAUGGAUCUCAACAUCAUAAUGAUAAUUACAGUUAGGGUACAAUUUAUACUAAAAGUACUAUCAUCAAUUAUGAUUGGUUUUCACUGAAUAAAGAUCUAGGAAUUUUUUUCAAAAUGAAGACACAUUUGUCUAUGCUCAACACGUACAUGCACCCUUAGCCAGUUAGAGUACUGUGUAGGCAUAGAUUUGUCAGGAUUCUUUGAUCCCAAAAGGAUUCAUAGAAGAAAAAUUUCUCUUUCUGAGAAAUGAUCUCUCUAGAGACUGAUAGUGAUGAUACAAUAGGCUGGAGUUGCUAUUAUUAAAAAAAAAAAAUUACUACUUUUUCUGACUAUGUUUCUUUUUUCCCAGUGGGAUUCUGAUUCCAGACGUUCUACCAGCCUGACAUCCACUGGGAAAGUGAUGACACCAUAAAUUAUUUAGAGGUUUGAAAACCAUGAGAACUACUGUAUAUAACCAGAUUGGAUUGACUUUUUAACUCUUUUGAUUAAUAAUACAUAAAGCCUUGGAUAUGUGAAGUGGUUGAGUGCUAACCUGUUAACAAAAGGAGUAGCAGAGAUGAAUUCUAACAUUUCUCAUAAGUUAUUCUACUUAACACAUUGGCCAAACAAAACAAACAAAUGAAAUGCUCUGCCUUAGUCUUAUACCUUCAGUGCACCAUCAAUAUUUGAUGGCUACCUAAUGUCUCUAUAUAUCUGGCCACCAAUGAUAUUUUGAUCAUCUGGCUUACCAAUUUCAGUCUUAGCUUCUUUUUCCUGUAUUUGUGAAAACAUGCCACUAGAAAGUAGAAAAAGAGUUUCAAUAUCCUGGUUUCUUUUCUGACUUUCAUUUUAACAUUACUAACUGCUCAGAUGUGAAAAUGAUAUUUCAGCCUUCAAAAAAGCAAGUGAAAACCAGAAUUUCCUAGGUUUAUGGUAUUUUUUCUCUGCAGCAGGAUGGGAGUAGACAUUUGCACUUCUACAGAUAGAUUUCAUGUUCUGCAUUUCUGCUACUGACCCUGUUUUAAUUAUCCACUUGUUUCUUAAGUUUUGUUCUUUUAUAGGUUGCUUUGGGUGAAGCUUUCAGAGAAAAGAGACACUGUUAUUUCCUUCCUAUUGAAAUACAGAAGAUGAUGCUCAUGACAGCCUGCAUUUCUGAGCAACAGAAAAAGUGACAAGAGACGUCACUGUGCUUCUGGGUUGCCUGGCCCGUACUUCAGGAGAUAGGCUAUCCAGGGUGAUUUCAGAGCAACACAUUAAUUUACAAUAGAAAUAUAUAUGUAUAUAUAUAUUUCUGUGCAACUCUCUGGAUGUUUUUGUAUUAUCCCAAAUGACAUUUGACUUCUUUAGAUGUAGAAACAAUAUGAAACACAUUUCUUUACUCAUUCCUGUGCACUUUUCCCUUGCGAUUUCCCAUAGAAUUCAAUUUUCAACUUCUUUCUGCACAGGUACUGGGUAUCUAUUCAACCUGCUGCAUGUCCAGCCAAUAUUAAUCAAAUACUAAUACUAUCAGUUACAGAUACUAGUACAUUCUUUUUACCACCUGAUAUGCCCACAGAAUUCUCCUUCCUUGAUCCCUCUAAUGUCAGAAAUACCUGGAGGCCCAUGGCCCUCUUCUAAUUUUUUUAAACCUUGCAGACUAACCAUUCAUCCUCUCCCUGUCCAGUACCAAUGAUGCCUCACCAAUCAUUCUGGAAGCUAUAAGAUCUGUGUGAGAUUAAUCUAUGUAUAAAAGAAUGAAUAAUUCAAUUCAAAAGCACGCUUUAAAAUUUUUGUUAGUCCAGGCUCCUCAAUUUGUUCAAUUAUUUUGUUGUAAAUUUUUAGUGAUGCCUUUACUGCAAUAUAUUUGAAUUUCCUACAAUAUGAGUAAAACGAGUCUCACCUCAGCUUUAAGAAAUGAGGACCAAUUUAAGAAAAUUAUAGCAGCCCACCAAUUACACCUGAACAAGGCCUUGCUUGUGACACCAAUAAUAAAUUAAAUUAUUCAGCAAUAUUUAUUAAAUGUUAAUGAGUACCAUCACCUGACUUCCACACACAGAAGUACUGUGUGAAAUCUGUUGUCAGGUACUGUUUCCUUUUCUGAAAGGAAGUAUCAUCCAAUUUGUGUACAGAUUCUCUCCCCACUCCAAAAAGGAAGUAUAUCCAUAAAAAUAAUUAGAAUCUCUUCUAUAUAAAUGCAUAUGUCCCCCUUCUAUUCUUAUAUUCCCGCCAUAUCAAUAACAGUGUAGUCACAUUGAUUUCCUAGUUAUGAUUAAAUAUAGCACUCAAACAAUUUAUUCUCAUUCUUAAAAAAAUUCUAGAUGUGGUAUUAUUUUUGCAUAUUUUCUUGCUGCAUCUUAAGGUCUAACCGGGUGACUGAGAUCAGCAUCUGACUUUACCAGAAUAGCAUGGAUCUCAGUAUUUUUUGCAUAGUAUCUUUCAACAGCCAUAAUAAAUAAAUAAAUAAACAAACAAACAAACCAACAUUUGUAUUUUUUUUCCAUCUGGGAUUAUGUGACAAAGUGAUCCCCUGCAUCUAAUCAAUUAUUUUUCUUCUCUAUCUUUUGCAUUUUCCUGCAAAACCAUUUGCAAGUAUAACAGAAAGAUUCUUCAGAGAUAAUCUGGUGAUUAUUUCAAAAUCAACCUCGGACGCUGCAGGCAUUAAAAGAUGAAAAUUGCCUGAAGUCCACUGUUGUACAACAGAUCUGUACCUCUGGACUCCUGUCCUGAGGUAAAAAUGCAAACCAGAGAGAUAUUUAGAAUCAUUCUGACAGUUCAUAAAAUUAAGCAGGGAUUAGAGAUUCUCUCGGAAAUAAAUAAAUAAAAGGUAUAAUGCUACAGGGCCAACACAAUGUUAAUCACAUCUCCUUGCAACAGGUAUUACUUUCCCAACACUUUGGGGAAGAAAAAGAAGUCAUAUAAUUAAGCCUGGCAUGUGUUUAGCACUGGUGAUUCCAAUUUAAAUAUCUGAGUGCAUGAAUUCAACAUGUUAAUACAUAUACAUAUGCAUACAUGCACAUACAUAACUAAUAUAUAAACUGCACAAUCAGUUUAAUUGUAUAGGUUUCUACAGAAACCUAUGCAGAAGCCUGUAUACAGAAACCAUUUGUAGGCUUCUACAGAAAUGUUGUGUAUCUUAAGCACCCUAUUUUCCUCUGAAUUUAAUGGAUUAGCCCUGAUGAUAGAAACACUUGAACAUAUUCUUAACAUUACAUAACAAGAGUGCCUUGCUGAUUUUAGGAUAACUUUCAAUCUACAUGAAUUUAAGCAAAAGUUUAACAGUCUACUGGGAAUGUACUCUGUGCUGCCAGUCAUUUAAAACACACAAUUUAUAAGAAAAGAAUUGAAACUACUGUAGCAGACAUAGAUGGUUUUGAUCCCUGUUGCAUCUGCAGCAGGUAAGCCCAAGAAAUUGCAAACAUGAUUAAAAUGAAUACACAGCAAAAAGUGCACAGUGACCACAGAAAUAUGUCUGGGGCAAGCAUGGACUUUUCCAGUCAGACUCCCAAAUUUCCCCACCCACCUUUCAAACUUCUCAGUAUGGUUCAAAAUGUCUCCUCAGCACUGGUUUGCUUAAAAGGAUGCCUUUCCUUUUCUUCCUGGAUGAGCAAACUCUAAUGUACUGCAUUUACACAGUGUAUAAAAUGACUCUCAGUGUAUUAGAUUAGUAUCAUGUUUCAAUAUCUUUGGAAAAUGUUCAAGUUAAAUUAACAUGUUUCUAACAAACUGAAAAGUCCAAAAUAGAACUAGCUGAAGUGGAUUAAAAGAUUUUUUUUUCUUUUUUCUUUCUUUUUUUUUUUUUUUAGUACAAAAAUAAAUUAAAAAUAACUGCCUAGAGAAUUUUUUCAAGAUAUAUUUUAUGCUCAAAUUACAGUCCCUUUAUUUAAGCUUUGAAUUUUACUCAACCUUCUGUUAAUGAUGUAGAUAUUUUUUGAUAAUAAAUAUUAGCAAAUUUCCUGAUUCAACAAAAGAAGGGAACAUUGUUUUACACAGUAUAUCUUAGACAUCGGAAAUGUAAUUAAUUUUCAUCUUUAAAAAUUUCUUAUGAAAAUUAAUUUCCAUCCCAUUUUAGUCCUGAAUGUUGACUGGAGCUAGGAUAAUACAUCACACAAAUGUUGAUUUAAAUAUUUAAACAAAUUCACUUACUUUGGAUUUACAUCCCCUUUGGGCUCUACUUUCCAUGAAUACUCUGAUAAAUAAGCUUACUGUAAGGACAAUCUGCUGGGAGGGCAAAUUAUAAACAAAAAUUGAAGAAUUCAUGUGGGAUAUGAAUUUUUGAAUUCUAAUCAUCAAUUGUUGCACUAGCAAUUAAAGCUGAUUGGAGGACAGUAAUUCCAUGCUACAUUAAUUUUCAAGACUGUGUCUUCAUGUCUAGUUUGUUUUGGUUUGCUUUUGUCUCAUUUUCUGUACAAAACACAAACUCUUUACACUACUAAAGUGAAAUUGCCUUUAGAAUCAUAGAAUCAUAGAAUCACAAGGUUGGAAAGGACCUACAAGAUCAUCUAGUCCAACCAUCCUCCCAUUACCCUUGCUACCACAAGCUGCUAAACCAUAUCUCGUAGCUUCUCAUCCAGAAGCCUCCUGAACACUGCGAGAGAUGACGACUCCACCACCUCCCUGGGCAGGCCAUUCCAGUGCCUGACCACAGUCUGAGAAAAAGUUUUUUACAUACAAGUAUGGCUGCGUAUUUCAGCCAAGGAUACAACAAAAAGAGAGAAGUCCUUUCUCAGACUGAAUCACAUUUUACUCAUUUUCAUCGAUGAUUUUUAUCUGUGAUGACUCAGUUAGCUGGAGGAGAAACCUGUUCCUAAGCUUUCUACAUCCAAGGCCGCUGCUCUAACCACAGAGCUGUCAGAAAAACCAAAACGUCCACUUCAUUCAUUUUCAUUCUGCAAAAAAUUUCCAUUCAUACAAAAUAGAUAUGUAGCUUUCAGAAUUCAGAGUGCUCCAAUUCAAAAUGGCUCCCGUCUAACACAUGAAUAUUAAGUAACCACAUCUCCUGAGGUAAGGCUGGAUUCCUGACCCAUCGCAGAUUUAUAGGGGAGCAGGGAAAAGUCCUGAAACAGCAUUUAUGGCAUUCAUCCCCCACCACUCCCAGUCUCAUUGAGUCAGGCCACCCAUGUGGCAGCUGAGACUGUUCCUUAAAUAAUCGUCUGGAAGAGCUAAGGAUGACUUUUCACAUUGAAACAUUUCUUUUCUGUAGAAGGAAGAAACUGAGAAGAGACAUGGGACCUGUGCUCUAUAAGAAAAGUGAUACCAGUCUGGGCUCCGCAACUGUCAGCCACCUUCCAUCCCUGCAAGGAGUCAAGGCUUGCACACAGCAGUUUCAGGGUGAAUCUGGAGACCAACAAGCUUCAAGGGUAAAGAAAGCAAGAGAAGUUUCACCUCCUGUCCCCACAAUUUCCUCUGUCUGGGUUGAGUUCCCAGAACAAAGUACAUCUUCAUCGUAGUCUCACAAUGAGAUAAUACCUUGAUGCAAACAGCUUGCUUUCUGCCACUGACUGUUGACACUAGCACAGCCUCAACCAAGUCAUGCUCAUGUCAGUUCGUUCCAACGCAAACAGUAUGAACUUUCACUUUGGAAAUGUUAUGGACUUUGGGGGAACAGUUUAUACAUUGCUAAGCCUAAUGUCAUAUAAGAGUCCAUAACUGCAAUUUAAAGGCCAUAUUAACGAAUAGGCUUGUAUAAAGGAAUUAACAGGGUGUGAAUUUGUGUAUGUGUUUCUGUACAAUUUGUUUGGUGUCUCUGCAUGCAAAGAAGGGCUUAAGCAAGACCUCCUCCUUUCUGAUUUUAUCUCUGAUUUGACAAGUCAUAGUGCUCUCAGUAAGCAGGACUGCAUUUUUGACAAAGUACCUGGCACAUGUUUAGUAAUUUUAGCCAGAAAUUACAUCAUAACAAGUUCUUCUUAUAGACAGCUGAUGAGUGAGCUUUGAUUUAUUUUUAUUUUUGUCCUCAGGAUGAUGGUUUUCUACUUAUGUCAGUGGCCAGUAGUAUAACAAAUCCUUCACCGUAAGUAUGUGUGCAUCAAUUUUUCAGCAAACACUGGCCUUUUGAGGUGAAAAGUUGCACUGUCACUCAUUUGCAAAUUGACUUCUCUCUUGGUUGCCAAAGCCAGUUAAUUUGCAAAUCAACAUUUUACAUGAGCCCUUUAAGCCAAUCCAAGUACUCAGUGGCUGCCAUUGCUAUGUAAUUAGUGUCUAAAGCACUUAAAAUUUAAUUAAUUUUAAAAAAUCAAAAAGAUCAGUGAAUUUGCUCUGUGCAUGGCCAGAGUCUCUUUUGCUGACUGAAUAGAAGAUCUCGAUUUAGAAAAUUACAGCAAGGCUCUGAUAUGGUUGGAAAGGAAUGAAGGAUAUGCACAUAGGCUGACGCAGUCAGAAACGUUAAUUUCACAUAUCUUCAGAAAAAUAAAACACAACCUUCUCAUAUUAAUUCACAAACUGCAUGACAGGUACUAUAAAAUACAAGCAAAUGAGAGUUAGAAGAGGAGGAAGUAGUCAGUGCAAUCAGAGUUGCAUUCCUUUAAACCAGGUUUUAUGCUCGUAGAAUGUAACCUGAAAUAGGUAGAAAUUUCAGCUUUUGUCUUGAAUAGGAUGAAAGAUGUGAAAACUUUGUGGUAAUUAUUUUGAUUUAUGAUGGAGACAGUAUCAGGAGAGAAGUUUGUUUUGGGUGAAAUAUUCAUCUUUUUUGGAGGUAACUUUCAAUUACAAAUUCUUCAUCCAUUUGGGUUAAUCUGGUCUGAAGAAGGAAGUUUCACUGAGGAAGAUGCCAACCAGAACUACAGAGAAGAUGUCUUCAUUGUUUGGAGCCUCUGGCUAUAGAACAGUUAGGUACUGACAAGACAAGGUAUGUGUAGAAAUAGGAUACAUUCUAGAAUGUAGUCUCUUUAAAAGAUAGGCAGGUGGUUGGAGAGAAAACAAAAACAAACAAACAAAUAAACAAUAUAAAUAACAGCAAAACCAGAGAGAUAAUACCCCAAAGAUUACCCCAAUAGAUUUAUUAUGUGUAGUAAAAUCUAUAUUGAUUUCUUCACAUUGGCUCUAUUAACCUUAUUUAAACUUUUCUAUCCUUUCAUGUCUUUUUGGUACUUUUCUUACAUUGGCACAUAAAUGGUUUUAUACUCAACUAAAUGUCUGUCAGACAAAAUUAUAUUUACAAAGAUUGUAGACUAGUCACUGAGGUGGUAGAACUCACACAAAGCUCAAAGGCCAUCUAAUAUUUCUGCUCUUCGUAAGUCUGAUGGACUUACUAGUUGUCUUUACUAACAUACUGAUAUGCAUAAUGAGGAAUCUUGGACAAACUCUGUGCAGAAUUCAGGGCAAAAUAUGCCCUUCUGUUGCUUUAUUUGCACUUCAUAUAUGUCCCUGAGGCAAGCUAGAGGGAGAACUUGCAUCACAAAUGUCACCAUCAUCUGUCCAGUAAUUCCCCAGCAAAUAUCUGGUUGUAUUACACUUGGGUGAGUAGAGUGUGAGCAAGCAAUUAUGGUAGAGCAGCUGACCCACUGCACACUCAUAGGCUAAUAUACCUCUUGAGAAGUAGCUAAUUUGCCUAUAGGUGUGGUUUCUGCCUUGUAGUCCCAUCCAUUAUUUUUAAAACUCUAGAAUUAUUUGUCAAACCUAAAUCCUCAACCCAAGUCAGAUGUAGAAUGGCACUAAGUGUGACUUAGAUAAACUCCAGAAAAAUCAAUUAAUAUAAAUAGUAUAAAAAAGCUACAAAUGGAAGCAAGUAGGGCCCAGGAUGAUUUUUCCGAUGGACAUUUUUGCUGUAACAUACAUAAUGCUAGCUGGCAAACAGCAAGUUUUGACACUGUUAUUUGUCCAUGGCUGCUCAGUGUGUAAAUCAGAAUGAUGCAUAUAGUCGACACAUCAGGGGUAUAUGGAAAACAAACUGCCCCAUCACUCUGGGCCUAACAACUUAGAGACCACAAUGAUAUACUGUAAGGUUGGUACUGCUGACUUCAAAAGCAGUAAAUCACACUACCGCCAGAAGGUACUGACAAAAUUAAGCAACCAAGAUUGAACAGAAAACAAAAGCUUUUCUGCAUAUUUAGUUAUUUCAUAUUCAGAUCUUCUGAAACUUAUUUUAUACCCUUUUUUGGAUUUUAUGAAAUUACUUUAAUUCUGUAUGGGUAGUGGGUUUAUAAAGCAAUUAACAAUGCAGUCAUAAGGAUCUGUGGCUGUAAUCUGUACUUCCCCAAACUACAUUUCACCAAGUAUUAACUGUGAUACCAUAAAGAAAAUCCUAUAUUUUAUCAGAAUAAUGCAGGAGGUUGCUGAGUAAGUGUUGGUUCAUAUUAGUUAAUGCAUUUCAUAUAUAAUGUACAGUAAGGCAAAAAAUAAAAUGGGUUUAUUGGUCACACCUCUUUUAAAUGCUGUCAGAGUAGAAUACUUCUAAUUAGUUGUAAAGAAUAUCCUGUGCCUUAAGAACUCCUGUAAUUGGUGUUAGUGUGUACCCAUCUAAAGGUACAAAUCUGAGAUGCAAACUCUGGGAAAAUGUAAAUCCAGAUUUUGGCAGAGUGGCUUGAUCCUGUCUAACUUCAGGAUUCAAAACAACAAUUGGAGAGAAUAAUUAAUUCUGAGUUUGACCCAGCGAAAACAUAAAGGCACAGUCUCAUAGUGCUUUUCUCUCUGCCCAGCGAGAAAUGAUAGUUAUAAGCUCUAGAAAAUAUUUCACAGGAGAUGUUGGUGUGCAUCUGACUUUCCUUCAUAUUUUAUCAGGGAUUUUUCACAUAAAGAAGCAAAAUUACUGCCCUUUGACUACUUGCUCCAACCAACAAACCACUACUUGCAGUAAGUGGGGUGUUUACACUAUAGCAAGUGAAUGAGUUUCUGCAAAUAAUGUCACCACCUCAAACAAGAAUGAGCAGGCUGCAAAGGUGGCUAAUGCAUUGCUAGGCAUUUAAAACUUCCUGACCUUUCUCCCUGGGGUUUAUAAAGUAUAAUAUGAUAGUUCCUGGCAAAAUAGGAAGGGGUAAUGCUAAAAAACCUAAGAAUAUAAAAUUGUUCAUUGUGGGUAAAAGAUAGGGUGCCCUGAAGUAACCAUGGACAUAAAAGAAAUUAAAACCAAACCUAGCUCUGUAGGAAGAAAGUAUUAUUACUAAUCACAAUUAGCCAAACAACAGUCACCUCUUAAACGAUGGGCAGUUUUCGCUUUCUCGCCCCCUUUUAUGCUCUAUGCUUUUCAGUGCACCCUGCUCCCAUUUACCAUGUCAUCCUCUCCCAAGAUAUUCUGUGUGUGCCUGUAUCACCAUUCCCAGUGUCCCUUGCUCUGCUAGCAUGGGUUUGAGUGGCAGUGAGAAAUCUGUAAGCAGGUGUUGUGGAAGUGAAGCGUGCCAUUUCGGCCAGUACAUUAGGUAAAGUAACGUUCCCUUGGGAACUCUAAUGCUUACAACUGCAUCAGCCCCAACUGUUCCUGCGAGAAAAGAAAGAGGCCAGUCCUGACCUGUUCUGACCAGAUGUUUUGGAAAUGUGCCCAUUUUUAGCAGAUAUAAUUGCUGUUAAUUUAUCAAAAGUGCAAUAGGUACUAACAAAGCACACUCUACUUACAAUCUAGCAAUAUAAUGUAAGAGACAAAAUAAGGGGUACAGAAGAGGUUAUGUUUGAACCACAGAAUCACAGAACUGUAGGGGCUAGAAGGGACCUCUAGAGAUCAUCGAGUCCAACCCCCCUGCAAAGCAGGCCUCCUACAGCAGGCUGCACAGGUGUAUAGUGCAUAGGACUUUAUUCAAUACUAGUUUAUGAUAAUUUCCAACAUAAUCCACUCUGUGUAAUAGAUAUGAUAUGACUGAUUAAUAAAUGGAUGCAGGGGAAAAAAAGAUAAUUUUUCAUUAUCCUUUGCCAAAAUUGUUCAGGAAUCUCUAGACUGCAGACUGCAUUCUGUAGACUACAUGUAAGAAAAGGGGAAGGAAACGUAACGAAAGCUACUGAGUUUUAACUGUGUGUCGGGUUCAUUUGGAAAGCUUACAUCUUGUUCUUUAAACUCUGGAAAGAGAGAAUCCAACCUGCACAAACAAAAGGAAAUGGUGGUUAUGUCCUUUUAUUAAUAUCCUUUGAAAUUACCGAAAUCAGAUUUGUCACAUGAAAAAAAAACAUUUACAAAAAUAAUUAUUUUGUUUUCCUUCUUCCUCUUUCACUUACUUUACAGUAUCUGUCUUGUUCAGAGGGCUAAAGGGCAGCCCACCAAUUUUCUAAGUAUUUUCAUUUUCAGAACAUGAAUACCUUUUCUGAGCAUAAAUAUGUGGGUGCUGUCAUUCCCAUUAUCAGUUUGAAGUGCAGGGAUUUCAUUCAGUUCUGCAUGUCUCAAUAGGGUAAAGUAAUUUUUUUCUAUGAGGAUCAGUGCAAUUACAGUAAGCUUGCACUCCAGGAAACAAGGGGUUUUAUAGGCUUGAAUUUCUGGAUUUCUGAGGCAUUUAUUCAGCCUUUAUCUUUGCACUUAUUAACAAAAAUUUGCUGAUCGCCAAGAAGUAAACUAUCAGAAUACUCAGCUUAAAAUCAGAAUGUCUUUUUCCGAAAUUGAUAGUCUUGAUGAGUUACAAGAUUUUUUUUUCCACACACCACAAACACUUCAAUAAUAAGAAUUGUGUUACUAUCUUAUUCAUAAUGCAAAGGUGUCAUUUAAUAAUAAACUUGUUCAGCAGUAUGGUUUUGCAUUUGCUCUUUCUGACAAAUUAGAAAGACUAUGCAAUUUUCAUUCUUUUUUUUUUUUUUAACUAUGUUAUUUGUAGAAAACAUUCCUUCUCAAGCAUAGCUUUCAUGGUAUAUAGUGCCUAUCUGUGCAUACAGAGCAUCCCAUAUGGUUACAGUGGGCCGGAGGGGUUGCUACUAGCCAUAUUUUAAAAAGCAGAUGUUACUAAUCUUCUAAGUAUUACACCCAAAUGAUGUCACUUCUGACUGACAACAGUUGGGCUCAUCAAUCCCCUUCAAUGUCCUUUUGCAUGUAACGUGUAAAGGGAAAGAAAAUUUUGCUCAGGAAGCAUGUCUCUAAAAGGGCAGAUCACUUUAUAUUACUACUGAACUGUUGAGCAGAAUGUCAGUUCCUGCAGGGGAAUGUAUAUAUCUGUUAAAGGCAAGAAGGUAAAGAAGUUUGCCUAGUAAUAGGACAUUCAGGGAAACUUUUAGGACAGCCAUUUCAGAGUCAGGCUACAAUGUGACAAACUGAGGGUUUUAGCUCAAAGUGCCUGUCUGCAUCGUGCAAUACACAAAGGCAACAUUCUUAUGCAUGUACAGAAGAUUUCCUUACAGGAUUGCACACGAAGGUACUAGGUGCUUCUGUGAACAAAGCCAGUGUGAAUUCCAGAGUUGCUUUUCAGUUGAUUGCAUUUAACAGCAGUGAAUAAACAAAGAUGAAAGCUAGCACUGAAGAUUUGGCCACAAAUGGUACAGAUUUCACAGAAAUGAAUAAAUAAGGUUUAAUUUCUGUGACAAUUGCAGAGCUAUUUUUUUUCAUUUUCCAUAUAAAUCCUUCGCCUCCUAAAUCUCACAAAGUAGUGAGUAAUAGUAGUGAAGAGUAGUAAUAGUGGAUGUGCUUUGGUGUCUUUUCUGGAUUUCCAGAAAGUUAAACACAUACACACACAAAAAUAGGCUAAUAUAUCCAGACAGUGCAUCAGAAACCAGUUACUACACCAAUGAUAGUAAUAACACAUAUCAAACUCCUUCUCUUCUGCUAGCAAUAGGAUCCUUCUUCAGUUUACUUUGGCAGGAAUUUCUUCCUCAGAUUCCCUCCCAGUGCUCACUCUAUGUAUUUCCCAUCCUAUUUUUGCUGUUGCAUAAUAUUUUUUCUUACAGAUACUAUACUUUGCCAACUCUGUCUCUCUCCAUAUACACUUCACUCAGACAUUUGUGUUAAUAAUAUUCUGCAGAGAUUAUUCUCAGGGUUUAAUUAUCCACUGGUUUAAAAAUAAUUUUAUUUGACCCAUUUUGAACAUGUGGCCACAUAGUUUUGCAUUUGGGAUAUGAAUAAGAAUAAGAGAGAAUGAAUAAGAGAACUUAAUUUACCUUAUAAGUACCACAUUAACAGCUAUAUACUUGUGUGGGUUUUCCUGAUUAUCUGGAUAUUCCUUUCUAUUUCCUUAUUAUUUUCAACUUCUUUAUGGAAGGUUUUGUUACCUGUACAGUAACAAGACUGUAAGAGUCACUCCUCCGAACAGAGAAGAUGAAAACAGCUCAUAUGUUUCCAACUUCAGAGCCCUUUUUAGCUAAAAUUUGACCUGAAAGCUUUAUUUCAGUAAUUUUUCAGGCCCGUACAGCCAGAACUUCCCUCUUAGUUUCUCUUAACAUUAAUCUUUUACAUUCAGGGACAAAAACUCUUACAAAAUAAUAAAAGCAAAGACAUUCCACACUUUUGUACAUUUCCAUUCAAUAAAAAAGAUAUCUAUUUUUCAGUUGUAUGCUGGUAUCUC